rnacentral:ncRNA from 1 species
AAGUCGGACGGGAAGUGGUGUUUCCAGUGGCGGACGGGGUGAGUAAUGCGUAAGAACCUGCCCUUGGGAGGGGAACAACAGCUGGAAACGGCUCGCGUCUGAUUAGCUAGUUGGUGAGGCAAUAGCUUACCAAGGCGAUGAUCAGUAGCUGGUCUGAGAGGAUGAUCAGCCACACUGGGACUGAGACACAGCCCAGACUCCUACGCAUGCU